rnacentral:rRNA from 1 species
UACGUAGGCAGCAAGCGUUGUUCGGAAUUACUGGGCGUAAAGAGUGUGUAGGCGGUGUUCUAAGUCUGUUGUGAAAUCUCCCGGCUUAACUGGGAGGGUGCGGCGGAAACUGGAAUGCUAGAGGAUGGGAGAGGUAAGCGGAAUUCCUGGUGUAGCGGUGAAAUGCGCAGAUAUCAGGAGGAACACCGGUGGCGAAGGCGGGUCUCUGGGCCGGAACUGACGCUGAGGAGCGAAAGCGUGGGGAGCGAACAGG